rnacentral:rRNA from 1 species
CUUCGCCUAAGGAUCGGCCCGCGUACUAUUAGCUAGUUGGUGAGGUAACGGCUCACCAAGGCGACGAUAGUUAUCCGGCCUAAGAGGGUGAACGGACACAUUGGGACUGAGAUACGGCCCAGACUCCUACGGGAGGCAGCAGCUAAGAAUAUUCCGCAAUGGAGGAAACUCGUGACGGAGCGACGCCGCGUGGAUGAUGAAGGCCGGAAGGUUGUAAAAUCCUUUUAAGCAAGAAGAAUAAACUUUACAGGGAAUGGUAGAGUGGUGACGGUAUUGCUUGAAUAAGCAACGGCUAAUUACCGUG